GACGAACGCUGGCGGCGUGCUUAACACAUGCAAGUCGAACGGAAAGGCCCCUUCGGGGGUACUCGAGUGGCGAACGGGUGAGUAACACGUGGGUGAUCUACCCUGCACUUCGGGAUAAGCCUGGGAAACUGGGUCUAAUACCGGAUAGGACCACGAGAUGCAUGUCUUGUGGUGGAAAGCUUUUGCGGUGUGGGAUGGGCCCGCGGCCUAUCAGCUUGUUGGUGGGGUGACGGCCUACCAAGGCGACGACGGGUAGCCGGCCUGAGAGGGUGUCCGGCCACACUGGGACUGAGAUACGGCCCAGACUCCUACGGGAGGCAGCAGUGGGGAAUAUUGCACAAUGGGCGCAAGCCUGAUGCAGCGACGCCGCGUGGGGAUGACGGCC
rnacentral:rRNA from 1 species